GACGAACGCUGGCGGCGUGCCUAACACAUGCAAGUCGAGCGGAGCGGCGAACGGGUGAGUAACGCGUGAGUAACUGCCCCCCUCUCUGGGAUCACAGUUGGAAAAGGCUGCUAAUACCAGAUAGUGGGGGUGGACUCGGGUCCUAUCGGCUUGUUGGUGGGGUAGUGGGCAACCAAGGCGACGACGGGUGGCCGGCCUGAGAGGGCGACCGGCGACAAUGGGCUAGGUGACGGCCCAGACUCCUACGGGAGGCAGCAGUGGGGAAUAUUGCCCAGUGGGGCAAACCCUGAUGCGGCAACGCCGCGUGCGGGAUGACGGCCUUCGGGUUGUAAACCGCGUUCAGCCAUGACGCGGUAGUGUCAGAAGAAGCACCGGCUAACUACGUGCCAGCAGCCGCGGUAAUUC
rnacentral:rRNA from 1 species